rnacentral:rRNA from 1 species
UACGUAGGGUGCAAGCGUUUAAUCGGAAUUACUGGGCGUAAAGCGUGCGCAGGCGGUUUUGUAAGUCUGUCGUGAAAUCCCCGGGCUCAACCUGGGAAUUGCGAUGGAGACUGCAAGGCUAGAAUCUGGCAGAGGGGGGUAGAAUUCCACGUGUAGCAGUGAAAUGCGUAGAGAUGUGGAGGAACACCGAUGGCGAAGGCAGCCCCCUGGGUCAAGAUUGACGCUCAUGCACGAAAGCGUGGGGACAAACAGG